AGUCGUAUGGUCUAAUGGUUAUGAUAUCUCGUUCACACGAGGGCCGAGAUGGUUCUGAGUUCGAUCCUCAGUACGACUA
rnacentral:tRNA from 2 species